AUUUAGCCCCGAUUGAAACGGAAAUCCUUUUUUGGCGAGAGGCUUUGACGAGCCAAAAAGAUUGCAGUGGAAAGCGGGAAACAGC
rnacentral:sRNA from 1 species